ACGCUCGACACCUACAGGAGGCAGCAGUCGGGAAUAUUGCGCAAUGGAGGAAACUCUGACGCAGUGACGCCGCGUGCAGGAAGAAGGUUUUCGGAUUGUAAACUGCUUUAGACAGGGAAGAACAAAUGACAGUACCUGUAGAAUAAGCUCCGGCUAACUACGUGCCAGCAGCCGCGGUAAUCUGAGCGGGCUGGCAAGGC
rnacentral:rRNA from 1 species